AACGAACGCUGGCGGCAGGCUUAACACAUGCAAGUCGAGCGCCCCGCAAGGGGAGCGGCAGACGGGUGAGUAACGCGUGGGAAUCUACCCAUCCCUACGGAACAACUCCGGGAAACUGGAGCUAAUACCGUAUACGCCCUUCGGGGGAAAGAUUUAUCGGGGAUGGAUGAGCCCGCGUUGGAUUAGCUAGUUGGUGGGGUAAUGGCCUACCAAGGCGACGAUCCAUAGCUGGUCUGAGAGGAUGAUCAGCCACAUUGGGACUGAGACACGGCCCAAACUCCUACGGGAGGCAGCAGUGGGGAAUAUUGGACAAUGGGCGAAAGCCUGAUCCAGCCAUGCCGCGUGAGUGAUGAAGGCCCUAGGGUUGUAAAGCUCUUUCACCGGUGAAGAUAAUGACGGUAACCGGAGAAGAAGCCCCGGCUAACUUCGUGCCAGCAGCCGCCGUAA
rnacentral:rRNA from 1 species